rnacentral:lncRNA from 1 species
CUCAUAGUGUGAUAGAUCUAUCUUAAGUAGAAAAUGUACUCUAUUUAAAAGGGAGAUAAUGUUGUGUGUGUCCUAUUAAAACUUGUAAAAUGUCACACUAAAUGCUAACACUUCAAAUGUGGGGUUGUUUCUAGCCCAUAUUUGAUUUCACCCAUCCAUGUGAAUCCGGCUACCAUUACUGUUUUUUCUCUUCUCCUUGAUCCACUAAUUUUAAUUAUGUAGCAUCAAAGAAAAAAGGUCUGCAUAUGUCUCUAAGAUAUUUUAUUUAAAAAUUUAGUUUUCAAGGACUAGUAUAAAUGUCUGUACUUAACUUUACCAACAGUGGAUUACUUCCAGAUGCAUCCUUCAAUAGCAUCAUGUAAACAUAAACUUCCUUCUCAUAGUCAUUACAGCUAGCAUUUAUUGGACAUUUACUAUGGCAAACAUUGAGCAAAUAUAGUACAUGAAAUAUCUUGUUAAACUGUCACCAAAAACAAAUGAGCUAGAUAUUGUUAUUAUCUUCUUUUUAUGAGGAACAGAGGCACAGAGGUUUAUAUUUGAAACCCAAGUCAUCUGGAUCCAGAGUCUGUGUUCUUGACUACAUUAUGUCCAUCCAUUUAGCAUAAUGCUGUAUAUAAAAAGGGCUCUUGCUAGAAGCACAGUGAAGUGAAAUUGAAAUUCAAGGUUAGUGAAGGACCCUUUUAUUUUGGUAAGUCAGUUCUUCAUAGGAAAACAAGAAAAAAAAAACCACCUUAGUUUGUGAUUUUAAUCACAGACGUCAGUCAUUUCUCCAAGGCAGACUAGGAUUUGCGCAGAUAAUAUUUACUGAAUAUCUACCGGGUAGAAAUUAUACAGUAUUGGGGAAUAUUUAAUUCUCAUGAUUACCAGAGGGAAGAGGCCCAGGAAUUUCAGAACUUUCCUAAGUUUGCAUGCAAAAAUUUGACUUUAAUAUAUAUGUGUACUUUUCUGAAUAGGAUGCUAAGAGCUGUCGUCAGAGUUUCCAAGAAUUAAUGGCAUUGCCCAUAGGAUUCACAACCACUGUCCUGGGGGAUGUGGGCCCAAGAAGACUGGGUUUGGACCUGGCCAUUCGGCUCCAGGUGCUCUUUCAACUUUUAAGUAUGAGAAAAAUGAAGGAACUGGAGACGUUUGUUUCUACUCAGUAGCUGUAAUAAGAAAUCUGCAUAUUGGACUUGCAUCUUGAGAGGUUUCAGUGAAAAGCCUUUAACUGAUGGUAAUUUGUGAGUUGGAAAAAAAAACUUUGCUCAUCUGACAAGAACAUUUGGUGAGUAAUCAGAUACAUUCUACAUAAAGACAGAUUGCUGGACUUGAAAUUAAUAUUUUAUUGCAAUUUUAUGUAAUGAAUAUGUUAUUUUAUGACCUGUCAACUGUUUAGCCAUAAUUACAAUUCCUACGUACAGAACAUUCAUUUUGUCCUUCCAAAAGAGCAUCAAUUAUAUUUCUUUUAGACAAACUUCACAAGAACUCUAAUAAGUGGAACUACUUCCUGUUUGCCUUUAUAAUAUUCCCCUAAAAGUCAGCCCUCCUGGUAGUAAAAUAGUUUAUAAUUAGAAAUUCAGAUCAGCCAUUAUACAUUGUUUCCACUUUCAUUAUUUUUGAAAUUCAUGCAACUAAGUGCGAUCAGGCAAAAAACAAUUAGAGAUGUGCUAAAAUACUUACAAAACAUUUAGCUAUCAGAUAUUUUCCCAAGCUGUUUGGUCUCAUGUUUGAAUAGUAUUUUGAAACAGUCUGUAAUGAGAAAAAUUCUAUAUUAAAAGCGCAUACAUUUUGGGGCACCAGAGUGACUCAGCCAGUUAAACGUCUGGCUCUCGAUUUCAGUUCAGGUCAUGAUCUCACAGUUUGUGAGUUCAAACCCCCCAUGGGGCUCUGCGCUGACAGAUUCUCUCUCCCUCUCUCUUUGCCCCUCCCCUGCUCACACACUCUAUCUCAAAACAAAUAAGUGAACUUUAAAAAAAAAGCACACACAUGUUUAUAAACAUACAUACAUGUUGUAAAUAACAGUUAAAUAAAUAACAGAUGUGAACAUAAAGGUGCCUUGGU